ACCGGCAGCUCAAGUGGUGGCCAUUUUUAUUGGGCCUAAAGCGUUCGUAGCCGGUUUGAUAAGUCUCCGGUGAAAUCCCGCAGCUUAACUGUGGGACUUGCUGGAGAUACUAUUAGACUUGAGGUCGGGAGAGGUUAGGGGUACUCCCAGGGUAGCAGUGAAAUCCUAUAAUCCUGGGAGGAACACCUGUGGCGAAGGCACCCCACUGGGACUGACCUGACGGUGAGUAACGAAAGCCAGGGGCGCAAACCA
rnacentral:rRNA from 1 species